UCAGUAUCAAUUCUGGAAACAUUGAAAAACUGAGGAGCACAGUGAUUCAAAUUCAGGGCAGACAACAUUUUGUAGCUCAUUAAGAGAUCUUUGGAUGCUUAUCCAAUCUGAUAAAGUUGCUAAACAAGAACAGUAUUUUAAGAAUUUCCAGAAUGGUAACAUUUUGAGGCAUCAAUGAUGGAGGCACCAACUCAAGCUUCUGAGUCCUUGCAAUUUGCACGUGAACCUCAUCCCCAUUAUCUGACAAAAGAAGUUGCCUACAACAUUUAUUCAAGGUCUCAAAGUUAAUAUUGAAUCCACUGGUGGAGAUGUCCAAGCACUACCAUUAUCACUUUUUACAGCAAACUGAAAACAAUUAUGUGUAAUAAAACCAUUAACCUAUUCCAAACAUAAAAUAGAAAGAUCAUUUCAGCAAAGAAUUAUAAUAGUUAAUUUUAACCAUGAAAAUAAACAUCAUUAGUAAUUGAUAUCUUUAAAGAUAUGAUUUUCAAGCCAAACAAGUUCAACUAAAUUAUAAUACAUGAUGACUAAAUCAUAAUAUCAAUGGACUACUAUUUCUCUCUAUUCUAACGCUAUCAAUGGCUAACAUAAUAAUCAAGUGUAUUUAUCUAUGUUGUGUUUUGGUUUGAGUUGAUAUUGUAGAAAAUAGUAUAAAGCAUAGCAAUAGACUACCAUUUUGUCCAUCCUAAUACAUACACAGAGAGUAGAGAUAAGACAAGUAGUAUAGACAUUUUUUUCCUUUAUAUGAUCCAUUAAUAAAAAAAAUUAUCAAUGAGCAUAACACCCUUAACAUAUCGAUGGUAAAAUUUAUGAUGCUGCAGCCAUCCCUACUGGGAGAAGGAUUACCAGAAAUAUACAUGCCCACUAGCAGACCUGAAUUAAAAACAGAGCAAAAGUCCUUUCUGCACUAGUCAUCUAGUAGAUAUGUUUUUAUGGGCGAUGUGAAAUCUUUAGGGCAACCCAAGACUUGUCCCCUUUUAGCAUCCCUUUAGGCAUUAAGCCAAUCAUAAAGCUUCUUAAGGAAGGUGAAACCUGUGACAAUGGUUUAAAGAUGGAAAAAAAUUUUCAAACUUGCUGAUCUGAGCAGUUUAACAGAGCAAAUAUAAAGAAGUGACAAAGCAAAUGAAAAUAGGGCAUUCUGCAUGUAUGAUAAUAAAAUUGAAAAAAAAACUAGGGAAUUUCUGACCUGAAAUGACAUUCUGUAUAAGUUCACUCUUCACUAAUGCAGGUACAUGUUAAUUUAUAGGAUAUAAUCAAUCUUGGGCCAGUUCCCUUCGACAUCUUUCUGUAAGGUGCUCAUAAUUUUAUAUAUUAAGGUGUGCAAAUGAGGUGAGACUGCCAAUCCAAUGUGGUAAUGCUGUCAAACCACAAUAGUUGUAAAUUGAGAGACGUUGAAGAGUUGAAACAUGUCGAUGCAGCUCAUCUAGAAGAAAUAUCAAAAUCACAUAUCUUCUAUAUGGACAAAGACUCCAAUGGAGAAUCAAUAACAAGUAUUAACUGCCGCAAUACCUCUUCUCUCACUGUAGACAGUAGCAAUUUCUUAAGACAAGGUAACAAAGACACUUGCAAGGAUGUCUAGAAUAGAAAAAAGACUCUGAGCUCAGGGCAUUGCGAGAUCUUUAAACUAGAAAGAAGAGGAGAUGAAUGCAGUUCCAAGGACGCUAACUCCUUACAAUACUCGAUAUCUAAUUGUGAAAGAUAAGGAAAUGAAGGAGGUGGUUGUGUUGGUAACAUUUCCAGGCCCCAAUACCGGAGACACCAACUCAAGCUUCAUCUUCAUUAUCUAACAAAAGAAGCUCACUGCAACAUUUAUUCAAGGUAUCAAAGGUGAUGAAAUAUUGAAUCCCCUCGUAGAGAUGUCCAAGCUCCACCAUUAUCCCUUGUACAUUCAAUUGACAACAAUUACAUCUGCAAUAAAAUAGUUCAUCUAAGAAAUUUCCAAACAUGAAGAAUGCAAACACAAAAUAGCAAGAUCACUUUAGCAAGAAAUGAUGAGCUAAUUAUAAUUAUGAAAAGAGACAACAUUAAAAUUGACAUCUUUAAAGAUAAGAUUUUCAAACUUUACUAAAUUAUGAUAAAUGACAGCUAAAUCGUAAUAUCAAUGGACUACUCUGUUUUUGUCUAUGCUAAUGCUAUCAAUGGCUGACAUAAUAAUCAAGGGUUUUUGUCCAUGUUGUGUUUUGGUUAGAGUGAUAUUUUAGAAACUAGUACAAAUCAUAGCAAUAGACUACUAUUUUGUUUAUGCUAGUACAUACAUAGAAAGCAGAGAUAAGACAAGAAGUAUAAAAAAGUUUUGCUUGACAUGAUCCAUCAAUAACCAAAAUUAUAGAUGACUCUGACAUUCUUAAUAGAUCAAUAGCACAAAGUACAAACAAUGAUAAUGAUGAUGCAACCAUCAAAGGUCAGAGGAGGAUUUACUAAAAUUUACGUCUGAUAGCACACCUGAAUUGAAAAGAGAGGAAAGGUCUUUUUUUGCAUUGGUCAUGUAGUAGGAAUGAAUUUCUGGCAGUGAUUAAUCUCAAGGCAUGUAAAUGAUAUGAGGCUGCCUAACUAGAACAGUCCUAAAUGAUAAGUCUGCAGGGUAUUGAGGGAAUGCAUCUCUUCUAGUAGUAAUGUCAAUUAAUGGCAAGGAUGAAUUCAGAGCUCCAAAAGUAUUCAAAGGCUUCCUAUCUAGUCUGGUGAUUUUGUCAAUUAAGAGCAGAGGAGAGAGUAUGUUGUAAGUGAAUGGAGUCUUUUCCUUUUCACCAGCCCUCAAAAGCUUGUUCCCAAGGCACGGGCAAUAUUCAGCCCAUCUUCACCAUCAUCCUUUUUUACAUUGGGAUAUUAGACACCUUUGUGCCUAUGAACAAUCAGAAGUUCUUAAGCAAGGUAAAAUCUGCAAGAAAAUAUUGAUUAAAUCAACCCUAGCAUUUUGCCAAACUCUUAGAAUAUGAAACUUAAAGUAUAAUGAUUAGGUUGGUCCCAAACUACCAAUUAAUAACUUGUCUAUUGUACAUGAUUUGAUGAUGCAAAAUUUUCAAAAACUUAGUGAUCUAAAAUCAAACAUUAUAAAAAUUGAAGCUAUUAAAAACAAGACAGAACAUUGGAUUGCAAACCUGAAAUAUAUUGUCAAUGACAUGCUUCAAUUAAAGAACAAAAAUCCUAUAUGAAUCAGGUACCAUUGCUAGUCAAUAUCAAUUUUGGGAAAAUUGAAGUGUUGAGUGACACAUCCCUUCUGGCAGUGAUUGCAAUUCAAGGCCAACAGCAUUUUCAAGCUCAUUAAGAGAUGCCAGACUGUCUUCUAGUUUGAUUAAGUUGCAAAACUAGAGAAAUUGAUGAUUGUAAGGAUUUCCAGAAUGUUAACAUUUUGAAGCCCUAAUAGUGGAGGCACCAACUCCUUAUUUGACAAAAACGCUCUCUGCAAUAUUUAUUCAAGCUAUCAAAGGUGAUAAAAAAUUGCAUCCACUGAUAGAGAUGCCCAAGCCCCACCAUCAUCCCUUUUUUACAUUGAAUUUACAUCAAUGACAU
rnacentral:lncRNA from 1 species